ACUAAGCUGGGAACGUCUGCUCAGUAUAAAUGCAGAAAAAUGAUGUGGGACUCUAAUUAAAGAGAAGGAAAGGACAUGGGAUAGGCAUUUCAAGACCAGAAGGGGAAAUAAAGCAGUUGCUAUUCUGGCCGUAGAAAGGAAAAGACAAAAGGAAACAGACAUGGUGGGUAUGAUGGAUAAGAGCUAGGUCUGUAAAUCAGCUGGGUCUGAGGAAAGGAGACAAACUCUUCUUACUUCUGGAAAGAGCAUUUUGUUUUGAAGUUCUUAGAGGUAAAAUAUGAGGAAGGGAAAGGACCCUACUGCUUUUUUCUCCGUGGAGAGAAAGACUGAAGAAAAUGACUAUAACAUCCUAAAGAUGGAGGAUCUCCUUUACCUGGAGAACCUGAUGUAUUUUGUUCUCACAGAUGAAGAAAUGAGCUUCAUGACUUGCCCAAUGACGCUGGGGCAGUGAGUGGGGAGCAAAGAAUUUUGAAACAUUGAAGAUACGGUGAAAAAUGGAGACAUGCAACGUCAUAUCUGUUAAAAAUCACUCUUGUACAUAUAUAUAACAGCAAAUUCCUGGUGUUCUGACCAACUCUGUAGAACUGUUUGUGGGCAUUUUAAAAUGUGAGUGAAUUCUUUACCCCUUCUAAUAAACCUUUAUCUCAUGAUUUAUGCAUCAAUUUGCAUAACCAGGAUGCAUUAAAUGGGUUAAUUCCAGAGUGCAGGGUUGCUGAAUUUGAGGAGGGAGUUGAUGAGAUAGAGAGCUUCUUUAGGAUGGUAUGGAUCUGUCUUUCCUGAAGGUCUGUACCUGGAAGCCUCAAGUAAUAUAGAUGACAUGGAAACAAAUGAGAAUACACA